UGAUCCUGGCUCAGGACGAACGCUGGCGGCACGCUUAACACAUGCAAGUCGAACGAGAGAAGAGAAGCUUGCUUUUCUGAUCUAGUGGCGGACGGGUGAGUAACACGUGAGCAAUCUGCCUUUCAGAGGGGGAUACCGAUUGGAAACGAUCGUUAAUACCGCAUAACAUAAUUGAACCGCAUGAUUUGAUUAUCAAAGAUUUAUCGCUGAAAGAUGAGCUCGCGUCUGAUUAGCUAGUUGGUAAGGUAACGGCUUACCAAGGCGACGAUCAGUAGCCGGACUGAGAGGUUGAUCGGCCACAUUGGGACUGAGACACGGCCCAGACUCCUACGGGAGGCAGCAGUGGGGAAUAUUGCACAAUGGAGGAAACUCUGAUGCAGCGAUGCCGCGUGAGGGAAGAAGGUUUUAGGAUUGUAAACCUCUGUCUUCAGGGACGAAAAAAGACGGUACCUGAGGAGGAAGCUCCGGCUAACUACGUGCCAGCAGCCGCGGUAAUACGUAGGGAGCGAGCGUUGUCCGGAAUUACUGGGUGUAAAGGGAGCGUAGGCGGGAUCGCAAGUCAGAUGUGAAAACUAUGGGCUUAACCCAUAAACUGCAUUUGAAACUGUGGUUCUUGAGUGAAGUAGAGGUAAGCGGAAUUCCUAGUGUAGCGGUGAAAUGCGUAGAUAUUAGGAGGAACAUCAGUGGCGAAGGCGGCUUACUGGGCUUUAACUGACGCUGAGGCUCGAAAGCGUGGGGAGCAAACAGGAUUAGAUACCCUGGUAGUCCACGCCGUAAACGAUGAUUACUAGGUGUGGGGGGACUGACCCCUUCCGUGCCGCAGCAAACGCAAUAAGUAAUCCACCUGGGGAGUACGACCGCAAGGUUGAAACUCAAAGGAAUUGACGGGGGCCCGCACAAGCAGUGGAGUAUGUGGAUUAAUUCGAAGCAACGCGAAGAACCUUACCAGGUCUUGACAUCGUAUGCAUAGCUCAGAGAUGAGUGAAAUCUCUUCGGAGACAUAUAGACAGGUGGUGCAUGGUUGUCGUCAGCUCGUGUCGUGAGAUGUUGGGUUAAGUCCCGCAACGAGCGCAACCCUUACUGUUAGUUGCUACGCAAGAGCACUCUAGCAGGACUGCCGUUGACAAAACGGAGGAAGGUGGGGAUGACGUCAAAUCAUCAUGCCCUUUAUGACCUGGGCCUCACACGUACUACAAUGGCUGUCAACAGAGGGAAGCAAAGCCGCGAGGUGGAGCAAACCCCUAAAAGCAGUCUUAGUUCGGAUUGUAGGCUGCAACCCGCCUACAUGAAGUCGGAAUUGCUAGUAAUCGCAGAUCAGCAUGCUGCGGUGAAUACGUUCCCGGGCCU
rnacentral:rRNA from 1 species